ACGGUGUGAAAAACUCCGGUGGUAUGAUAAGGAUCCGCGUCUGAUUAGCUAGUUGGUGAGGUAACGGCCCUCCAAGGCAACGAUCAGUAGCCGGCCUGAGAGGGUGAACGGCCACAUUGGGACUGAGACACGGCCCAAACUCCUACGGGAGGCAGCAGUGGGGAAUAUUGCACAAUGGGGGAAACCCUGAUGCAGCGACGCCGCGUGAGUGAUGAAGUAUUUCGGUAUGUAAAGCUCUAUCAGCAGGGAAGAUAAUGACGGUACCUGACUAAGAAGCACCGGCUAAAUACGUGCCAGCAGCCGCGGUAAUACGUAUGGUGCAAGCGUUAUCCG
rnacentral:rRNA from 1 species